rnacentral:rRNA from 1 species
GACAGAGGUGCCGAGCGUUAGGCGGAAUCACUGGGCUUAAAGCGUGUGUAGGCGGAUUCCUAAGUACCUUGUGAAAUCCCACGGCUUAACCGUGGAACUGCUUGGUAUACUGGGUGUCUUGAGCCAACUAGAGGCAGUCGGAACAAACGGUGGAGCGGUGAAAUGCGUAGAUAUCGUUUGGAACGCCAAUGGUGAAAACAGACUGCUGGGGUUGUGCUGACGCUGAGGCUCGAAGGCUAGGGGAGCAAAAGGG